rnacentral:rRNA from 1 species
GACGGGGGGGGCAAGUGUUCUUCGGAAUGACUGGGCGUAAAGGGCACGUAGGCGGUGAAUCGGGUUGAAAGUGAAAGUCGCCAAAAAGUGGCGGAAUGCUCUCGAAACCAAUUCACUUGAGUGAGACAGAGGAGAGUGGAAUUUCGUGUGUAGGGGUGAAAUGCGUAGAUAUCAGGAGGAAUACCGAUGGCGAAGGCAGGUCUCUGGGCUGACACUGACGCUCAUGCACGAAAGCGUGGGGAGCAAACAGG